rnacentral:rRNA from 1 species
GAUGAACGCUGGCGGCGUGCCUAAUACAUGCAAGUCGAGCGAACUGACGAGGAGCUUGCUCCUCUGACGUUAGCGGCGGACGGGUGAGUAACACGUGGAUAACCUACCUAUAAGACUGGGAUAACUUCGGGAAACCGGAGCUAAUACCGGAUAAUAUAUUGAACCGCAUGGUUCAAUAGUGAAAGACGGUUUUGCUGUCACUUAUAGAUGGAUCCGCGCCGCAUUAGCUAGUUGGUAAGGUAACGGCUUACCAAGGCAACGAUGCGUAGCUGACCUGAGAGGGUGAUCGGCCACACUGGAACUGAGACACGGUCCAGACUCCUACGGGAGGCAGCAGUAGGGAAUCUUCCGCAAUGGGCGAAAGCUUGACGGAGCAACGCCGCGUGAGUGAUGAAGGUCUUCGGAUCGUAAAACUCUGUUAUUGGGGAAGAACAAAUGUGUAAGUAACUAUGCACGUCUUGACGGUACCUAAUCAGUAAGCCACGGCUAACUACGUG